rnacentral:rRNA from 1 species
GAUGAACGCUGGCGGCGUGCCUAACACAUGCAAGUCGAGCGAAGCACUUUGCUUGGAUUCUUCGGAUGAAGAGGAUUGUGACUGAGCGGGCGCGGGUCAAGGUACGGCGUAGGUUAACCGUGCCUCAUACAGGGGGAUAACAGUUAGAAAUGACUGCUAAUACCGCAUAAGACCACAGUCACCGCAUGGUGCAGGGGUAAAAACUCCGGUGGUAUGAGAUGGACCCGCGUCUGAUUAGCUAGUUGGUAAGGUAACGGCUUACCAAGGCGACGAUCAGUAGCCGACCUGAGAGGGUGACCGGCCACAUUGGGACUGAGACACGGCCCAA